rnacentral:lncRNA from 1 species
GUAGUGAUAAGACAUGACUGGGAAGCAGUUACCAGAGACAAGCAAGGAUAGGGCUUUGAAUGCAUCCUCUGCUGGUGGCUUCUGUAGUUAUGCAUAAAAUUUACUCUGACCUGUUUACUUUUAUAGCCUGUCUUUACUUUGUUUCUUUUAAUAUUAUACAUGUUUAGGCUAUGCUUUUUCUUUAAAUAUGUGAGCAAAUCUAUUGGUGUAAUGUACUCAUUACCCUAAAACCUAUAUUAUAAUGGACCCGAAUACCAUAAGGUAGAAGAUCAGAAGAAAAAGAAAAUGCAUACAUUUUUAUCUUUAAAACAAUUCACUUUUAAGAUUAUUUUCUUGAAAGGUAUACGUUUGAUGGAGCUGAAUCUAGUUCCUUCAGGCAGAUAUAAUAGGAUACAAUAGGAUAGGACUUCUUGGGUAAAAAAGGUGUAGUAAUCUGUGAGACUCAUGGGAAGGAGAAAGGAAAUUAUUAAUUAAUUUGGCUGAGGCCAGGGUAGUAAGCAGAUUCAUUAUAAAUUCUGGCAGCAGAGGAAUACUUGAGAAAUGCUUAUAAAGUUAGAUCAUCUAUUUUUCCAAGCAAAUUCUUCAUGUCAUUCCACCUUGUAAAAACUUUGUGGAAAAGAAUAAGCACAUGAAUGAGCAAUGAAUAGACUUUGCAUUAGAUUGGUAAUCUUGCUACUAGUACAUUAAUUUACUUGUAUUACUGAUAUUUUAAGAUAGGAUUUUUACAGAUGUUUAUAUAUUUUUUAAAAGCCUAUUUUUUUCUUUACCCAUUUUCUCAAUUUUUUUAACCUCGAAAACUUUUUCCUCCCUGAGAGAAAUACAUGGGCUAUCUUCAGCAUAGAACACAAACUCUGCCUUCUUUUCUCAAGUCCAGUGAUUCAAGUUUGACACACCACACCACGGUGGAUGUGCCUUGUCAUGACACAUCUCAGCAGCACUAGAAGAUACAUCCAAAGUCCUGUGAGCAAGGUCUGUGGUAUCUGUUUAUUAUGGCAGCCCAGUAAGACUAAGACAGGCCAUCACAAGACGUGAACGUUUUGGACCUUCUCUUGGGCCCUAGUAAACAGAAAUCAGGCUAUUUAUUAAACUAAUCCACGUUCUGAACAGUUAUUGCUACUGGAAACCAGUCCCGAUCCAGACCACAAAAGACGAUUCUUGGAUCUUGCACAAGAAAGAAAGGGAAGAUCUGGCAAGAGUUAGCGUGCAGUUCUACAUUGUGACAAUUCAUGAGAGCUAAGGACUGGCUGUCUCUUGGGACAAAUAGGCUUUCUUGAGUCUGCAUGAGGCCCUCACCAGAUACAGCCACCUGAUCUUGGACUUCACAGCCUCCAGAAAUCUUAUAGAAGAGUACAGCAUACAGAAAAAUACAUCUUCUGCAAAGAAAACACAGUCAUGUAGAGAACCUUUCCAUCCCCAGUCUGGACCCAGCUUUGCUUCCACUUCUAAGUGAGAACAUACAGUGUUUGGUUUUUCAUUCCUGAGUUACUUCACCUAGAACAAUGGCCUCCAGCUCCAUCCAAGUUGCUGCAGAAGACAUUUCAUUCCUUUUAUGGCUGAGUAGUAUUCCAUGUCCAGUGAUUCAAGUUUGACACACCACACCACGGUGGAUGUGCCUUGUCAUGACACAUCUUCUCAGCAGCACUAGAAGAUACAUCCAAAGUCCUGUGAGCAAGGACACAGCGAGAAGAUGGCUGUCUACAAGCCAGGAAGAGAGUCCUCACCAGAACCAAACCCUGCUGGACUUUGAUCUUGGACUUCCCAGCCUCUAAAACUGUGAAGACAUAAAUUUCUGUUGUUAAACCCACACAGGUCUGUGGUAUCUGUUUAUUAUGGCAGCCCAGUAAGACUAAGACAGGCCAUCACAAGACAUGAAUGUUUUGGACCUUCUCUUGGGCCCUAGUAAACAGAAAUCAGGUACGCAAAAGGGGUAAGCAUAUAAUUUCCUUUAUUUUUAUUUUUAAUGUGUAAGCCUUAGGUUUUUAUUUAUUUAUUUGGUGAAGACAAUCACAUUGUGUACGUACAAUGUAAUUAUAUUGUUGACGAGAAGUUACUUAAAAUUUUUUAAAAAUUCUAAUCGAUUUCUAGAUGUCCAAAUGAGAAGAUAGCAUUUAUAUACCAUCAGAACAUAAAAUAAUUCAAAAAAAUAAAUUUAUAAAACAAUAUGUAUUAUAUUGAGAGAAAGAGAGGGAGAGAGUAUUGGAAGAAUAUAUGCAAAUACAAUGUGAUAAUGUGAUGUCUUUGUGAGAAUGCUAUAUGUCAUUUUCUUUGUUUAUAUGAAUUUUUACAAUUUUUACCUUUGAAAUAUAAAAAAGAGAGAAUAAAAGUCAUUGAAAAAAUCAAAAGUAACUAUUUUCAUAGGUGAGUAAGUAUACAUCUUUAACAGAAC